rnacentral:rRNA from 1 species
GGGAUUCCCCUAGUAACGGCGAGUGAAGCGGGAACAGCUCAAAUUUGAAAUCUGGCCCUCGGGUCCGAGUUGUAAUUUGCAGAGGAUGCUUUUGGUGCGGUGCCUUCCGAGUUCCCUGGAACGGGACGCCUUAGAGGGUGAGAGCCCCGUACGGUUGGCCACCAAGCCUGUGUAAAGCUCCUUCGACGAGUCGAGUAGUUUGGGAAUGCUGCUCUAAGCGGGAGGUAUAUUUCUUCUAAAGCUAAAUACCGGCCAGAGACCGAUAGCGCACAAGUAGAGUGAUCGAAAGAUGAAAAGCACUUUGAAAAGAGGGUUAAACAGCACGUGAAAUUGUUGAAAGGGAAGGGUUUAUGACCAGACUUUUUCUAGGGGGAUCAUCCAGAGAUAUCACUGGUGCACUUCCCCUAGUUGAGGCCAGCAUCGGUUCUCCUAGGGGGAUAAAAGCGGUGGGAAUGUGACUCCCUCGGGAGUGUUAUAGCCCGCCGUAUAAUACCCGUAGGGGGACCGAGGUUCGCGCUCUGCAAGGAUGCUGGCGUAAUGGUUAUUAACCACCCGUCUUGAAACACGGACCAAGGAGUCGAACAUUUGUGCGAGUGUUUGGGUGUUAAACCCUCACGCGUAAUGAAAGUGAACGGAGGCGAGAGCCCUUACGGGUGCAUCGUCGACCGAUCCUGAUGUCUUCGGAUGGAUUUGAGUAAGAGCAUAACUGUUCGGACCCGAAAGAUGGUGAACUAUGCGUGGAUAGGGUGAAGCCAGAGGAAACUCUGGUGGAGGCUCGCAGCGGUUCUGACGUGCAAAUCGAUCGUCAAAUCUGCGCAUGGGGGCGAAAGACUAAUCGAACCAUUGACCAGCGGUCAAUAUAAUCACUAGGUGGUUGAGAGGGGGCCCGUGAGGGCCGUUUGCCAAUUCCUAGGCCCGUGUCCAGCUGGGGAGCUACCCUGUAGCAGCUGCGCAGUUACCCUGUAGCAGUUGUGCGGUUACCCUGUAGCUGGGCCGGCCGACACCGCUAAAUUGCGGGGACAUCCCUUUAGGGGCCACAGGCUACCGCUGGGCGCUGAAAAGCGUGCCAGCACCGAGGAUAGUGCCCUCGGGUGUGGUAAGAA